UCAUGUUCCUCUUUUCCAAAAACUGUAAGUAGAAUUGAGUAUAUACAUUAGGAUCAUCUGACUGUGAAUAGCCAGAAUCAUGCAAUUUACCCCAGGAGCUGGGCUGGUUUGCCUCGUCCAGUCUGAGCUCAGGUUGACCCCAGGGCCUGGCGCUCUCUGCUCGCCUCCUCGCUUUGUUCCGUUGGCUUCCUCAUCAUCUUUGGGUAGAGCUGACUGAUGGCAGCUUGAUGUCAAGGCCCACCCAGAAGAAUCCCUGCUUGCUCGGUUCAGACCCUCAGCUUCUGGAUAGCGUUCCCAGCAGGAAUGUAACACAACAUCCUUUUUCCCCAGUGCACCGGGAAGCUGCUCUCGGAAGCCUGAGCUCAGAUCGCCUGUCUUGGAACCAGUUGGAGACACCUGUUGACACAUAGCUUCCUGGGCCCAAGUCUCUUCUUGCAGAUGAAGUGCCUGAAAGGGGAGUGAUUUUGUCAGGGAGCCAGGGCUCAUCUGGGACAGGAACUCCAGUCUUCUGGUUCUAAAACCCAGGCAGGAAAGUCAGAGAAUGAAGAACAGGAAAUAUGACCAACUUCAGCUCCUCUGAGUCCCACGUAUUUUUCCACUGGCUUCAAAUAUUAAGAGAAAAACACACUGCUGGCCCCGGUGGAAAUCUUUGUAAGAUGACUUCCUGCUGAGGUCUGGCCUCCGAGUGUGCUCUGGGGGCUGGGAUUGCUGGUGCAAUCCAGGGAGGCUCAGGGUAGCUGGCACCUUGGAACUCCCAGUCUCCCGCACAGACAUCCUCUGUCACAGGAGACCUGGCCCCGGUGUGAGGUGGGAGCCGCCGCCUCUGAAGAGGACAUGGCAGAUGGAGAGGAGACAGGCAGACAGGGUCUUACCAUGUAGUUCAGGCUCACCUUGAACUCACUGCGUAGCCCAGGCUGGCUGGGAACUCAUGGUAAUCCUCCUGCCUCAGUCUCCCCAGGACUGGAGUUACAGUGCUGCUGUUUAAGAAGUCAAACAAGUCCAGCAUGGAGAACCAAUAAAUUCAGCAACUAGGGAGAAGGAAGCCACAGAGCACCAUGUUCCAGAAUGGCGGUGGCGGCCGCACCAGCUUCCAGAAU